CUUUUUCCAGCGCUGGGCGGAGAGCUCUCUGCCUCCUCUCCGCCUCCGUUACGCCCCGCCGGCUGAAUGCGCACGGGCGGCAAGAGCUGCGCGCGCAUUCAGCCGGUCUCAUAGGAAAGCAUUUACAAUGCUUUCCUAUGGACGCUGGCGUGCUCUCACUGUGAUUUUCACAGUGAGAAGCACGCAAGCGCCUCUAGUGGCUGUCAAUGAGACAGCCACUAGAGGAUUAGGG